GGAAGGAUCUACAUGUGCUAAUCCAGAAUGGAGCUGAUUAAAAACCAGCAUCUUUUGUCCUUUUGUUUUUCCUAAUCGAAGGUGGCAGGUGGAGCUGGCCCAUGAGACUUACUAGCUGUCGAGAUGCGACGGAGGUGAAAAGGUGAAACCCAAGGGGCAGAGGAAAGGAGGGGGAAGGCCGGGAUCUCGAACCACAGGCACGCAGCAGAAUAGCUAUGGAAAGAAUUACAACUGUGGAAAUAAUAGUAAGAAGAAAAACAAGCUCUUCCAUCUGUGGGACAAGGGGCGGUCCGGUGGAACAAGCAUGGAUCUUGGUAUCAAAGGGCCCAGGUUUUGCCCAGGUUCCCCUGGCCCAAACCUGCAGUGGUGAUGCAGCUCAUCUUUGGCCACGGCUGCAGGGUGACCCCCAGGGACUCUCGACCAUCUCUUGGACCACACUCCCUUCUCUCUCCAUCCCAGCCUGUUUGCUGUUCCUCACAUGCCCUGCUUGGCCCCAGUCCUUCUGAGGCCUUUGCCACAGUGUCCCCUUGCCCUAAUUAUGCUUCCCCAACUGUGUGACAGCUCACUUUUGUCUUGUCUCUGCUCGAAUGAAGUUUAUUAAACUUCAUCCUGUCCAUCCUA